AGAGUUUGAUCAUGGCUCAGAUUGAACGCUGGCGGCAUGCUUUACACAUGCAAGUCGAACGGCAGCACGGGCUUCGGCCUGGUGGCGAGUGGCGAACGGGUGAGUAAUGCAUCGGAACGUACCGUGUAAUGGGGGAUAACGUAGCGAAAGUUACGCUAAUACCGCAUACGCCCUGAGGGGGAAAGUGGGGGACCGCAAGGCCUCACGUUAUACGAGCGGCCGAUGUCGGAUUAGCUAGUUGGUGGGGUAAAGGCCUACCAAGGCGACGAUCCGUAGCGGGUCUGAGAGGAUGAUCCGCCACACUGGGACUGAGACACGGCCCAGACUCCUACGGGAGGCAGCAGUGGGGAAUUUUGGACAAUGGGCGCAAGCCUGAUCCAGCCAUGCCGCGUGAGUGAAGAAGGCCUUCGGGUUGUAAAGCUCUUUCAGGUGGAAAGAAAUCGCACUUUCUAAUACAAGGUGUGGAUGACGGUACCAUCAGAAGAAGCACCGGCUAACUACGUG
rnacentral:rRNA from 1 species